rnacentral:rRNA from 1 species
AGCAGCCGCGGUAAUUCCAGCUCCAAUAGCGUAUAUUAAAGUUGUUGCAGUUAAAAAGCUCGUAGUUGAAUUUCGGGAUCAGUAUGUUGGUCGUGCUUCGGUACGUACUGUCAUUACUGGUUUCUACCUUCUGAAGAACCUUGAUGUCAUUAAUUUGGUGUCUUGGGGAAUCAGGACUGUUACUUUGAAAAAAUUAGAGUGUUUAAAGCAAGCAUACGCUUGAAUACAUUAGCAUGGAAUAAUGAAAUAGGACGUUUGAUUCUAUUUUGUUGGUUUCUAGGAUCGACGUAAUGAUUAAUAGGGAUAGUUGGGGGCAUUAGUAUUCAAUUGUCAGAGGUGAAAUUCUUGGAUUUAUUGAAGACUAACUACUGCGAAAGCAUUUGCCAAGGAUGUUUUCAUUAAUCAAGAACGAAAGUUAGGGAUCGAAGACGAUCAGAUACCGUCGUAGUC